rnacentral:rRNA from 1 species
UACGGGAGGCAGCAGUGGGGAAUAUUGCACAAUGGGCGUAAGCCUGAUGCAGCCAUGCCGCGUGUAUGAAGAAGGCCUUCGGGUUGUAAAGUACUUUCAGUCGUGAGGAAGGUGUUAAGGUUAAUAACCUUAGCAAUUGACGUUAGCGACAGAAGAAGCACCGGCUAACUCCGUGCCAGCAGCCGCGGUAAUACGGAGGGUGCGAGCGUUAAUCGGAAUUACUGGGCGUAAAGGGCACGCAGGCGGUUAAUUAAGUUGGAUGUGAAAUCCCCGGGCUUAACCUGGGAAUGGCAUUCAAGACUGGUUAGCUAGAGUCUUGUAGAGGGGGUAGAAUUCCAUGUGUAGCGGUGAAAUGCGUAGAGAUGUGGAGGAAUACCGGUGGCGAAGGCGGCCCCUGGACAAAGACUGACGCUCAUGUGCGAAAGCGUGGGGAGCAAACAGGGAUUAGAUACC